GACUUGUGUGCGCCGGAUGCGGCGAUCUGCGGCCAAAAGGUCGUUGCGAUCAGCCCGUCCUGGCGCCGUAAAAUUUGCAACUGAGUCGCCUCUGGUCUUAAUUGGUCGGUGGCGUCUGCUCGGUUGCUCGUUUACUGUGAGAAAAUUGGAGUGUUCAAGGCAGGCGUGGAUUGCAACUGAACAUGUUAGCAUGGAAUAAUAAGAUAGGGCUCCGGCUCAUAUUUUGUUGGUUUCUAGGACUGAAGUAAUGAUUGAUAGGGACAGUUGGGGGUGCUAGUAUUCCGCGGCCAGAGGUGAAAUUCUUGGAUUCGCGGAAGACUAACUACUGCGAAAGCAUU
rnacentral:rRNA from 1 species